rnacentral:rRNA from 1 species
GGUUGCGAUCAUACCAGCACUAAUGCACCAGAUCCCAUCAGAACUCCGCAGUUAAGCGUGCUUGGGCGAGAGUAGUACUAGGAUGGGUGACCCCCUGGGAAGUCCUCGUGUUGCAACCCC